rnacentral:rRNA from 1 species
UGGGGAAUAUUGCACAAUGGGCGCAAGCCUGAUGCAGCCAUGCCGCGUGUAUGAAGAAGGCCUUCGGGUUGUAAAGUACUUUCAGCGGGGGGGAAGGCGAUAAGGUUAAUAACCUUGUCGAUUGACGUUACCCGCAAAAGAAGCACCGGCUAACUCCGUGCCAGCAGCCGCGGUAAUACGGAGGGUGCAAGCGUUAAUCGGAAUUACUGGGCGUAAAGCGCACGCAGGCGGUCUGUCAAGUCGGAUGUGAAAUCCCCGGGCUCAACCUGGGAACUGCAUUCGAAACUGGCAGGCUAGAGUCUUGUAGAGGGGGGUAGAAUUCCAGGUGUAGCGGUGAAAUGCGUAGAGAUCUGGAGGAAUACCGGUGGCGAAGGCGGCCCCCUGGACAAAGACUGACGCUCAGGUGCGAAAGCGUGGGGAGCAAACA